rnacentral:rRNA from 1 species
CACGGGGGGAGCAAGCGUUGUUCGGAAUCACUGGGCGUAAAGGGCGUGUAGGCGGUCAAGUAAGUGGGAUGUGAAAUCCCUCGGCUCACCCGAGGACCUGCAUCCCAAACUGCUUGGCUUGAGUAUGGGAGAGGAUGAGGGAAUUCCUGGUGUAGCGGUGAAAUGCGUAGAUAUCAGGAGGAACACCUGUGGCGAAAGCGGCUCACUGGACCAUAACUGACGCUGAUGCACGAAAGCUAGGGGAGCAAACAGG